GGAAAGAUGCUCGAGUGGCUGAAGAGGCACGCCUGGAAAGCGUGUAAACGUUAAAAGCGUUUCGGGGGUUCGAAUCCCCCUCUUUCCGCUA
rnacentral:tRNA from 1 species